GAUUAAAUGGCUGAACAAUAGGCGAUAGAUUGUAAAUCUAUUUAUGAGAAUAAUUCUCUUUAAUCA
rnacentral:tRNA from 1 species